rnacentral:sRNA from 1 species
GCUGGGUGUGGUGGUGCGUGCCCGUUAUCCCAGCAGCUAGGGAGGCUGAGGCAGGAGGAUCACAAGCUCAAGCCAGCCUCAGUAAGUUAGCAAGGCCCUAAGCAACUAAGACCCUGUCUCAA